rnacentral:rRNA from 1 species
GGGGAAUAUUGCACAAUGGGCGGAAGCCUGAUGCAGCGACGCCGCGUGAGGGAUGAAGGCCUUCGGGUUGUAAAGCUCUGUGGAGAGGGACGAAUAAGUGUGGUCGAACAGGCCGCAUGAUGACGGUACCUUUUUAGCAAGCACCGGCUAACUCUGUGCCAGCAGCCGCGGUAAGACAGAGGGUGCAAACGUUGUUCGGAAUUACUGGGCGUAAAGCGCGUGUAGGCUGCUCGGAAAGUCGGGUGUGAAAGCCCUGGGCUCAACCUAGGAAGUGCACUCGAAACUUCCGAGCUGGAGUUUCGGAGAGGAAGGCGGAAUUCUCGGUGUAGAGGUGAAAUUCGUAGAUAUCGAGAGGAACAUCGGUGGCGAAGGCGGCCUUCUGGACGAUGACUGACGCUGAGACGCGAAAGCGUGGGGAGCAAA